GACGAACGCUGGCGGCGUGCCUAAUACAUGCAAGUAGAACGCUGACUACUUUAGCUUGCUAGAGUAGAAGGAGUUGCGAACGGGUGAGUAACGCGUAGGUAACCUGCCUACUAGCGGGGGAUAACUAUUGGAAACGAUAGCUAAUACCGCAUAACAGUGUUUAACACAUGUUAGAUGCUUGAAAGAUGCAAUUGCAUCACUAGUAGAUGGACCUGCGUUGUAUUAGCUAGUUGGUGGGGUAACGGCCCACCAAGGCGACGAUACAUAGCCGACCUGAGAGGGUGAUCGGCCACACUGGGACUGAGACACGGCCCGGACUCCUACAGGAGGCAGCAGUAGGGAAUCUUCGGCAAUGGGGGCAACCCUGACCGAGCAACGCCGCGUGAGUGAAGAAGGUUUUCGGAUCGUAAAGCUCUGUUGUAAGAGAAGAACGUGUGUGAGAGUGGAAAGUUCACACAGUGACGGUAACUUACCAGAAAGGGACGGCUAACUACGUGCCAGCCGCCGCGGUAA
rnacentral:rRNA from 1 species